rnacentral:rRNA from 1 species
UAAACUACGAUUAGAUACCCUAUUAUUUUAAAUGUAAAUAUAAAAAGGCUUGAGUAGUAAUAGAUAUGUUCUUGAAACUCAAAGAAUUUGGCGGUGUUUUAGUCCUUUCAGAGGAACCUGUCCCAUAAUCGAUAGUCCACGUUUUACCUUGCUUAAUUUUGUUAUCAGCUUGUAUACCGCCGUCGUCAGAAUGUCCUUAGAGGGUUAUAAUUUUCUUGAUUUUUUAUUAAAAUUGAUGUCAGGUCAAGGUGCAGCUUAUGGUUAAGUGGAGAUGGGUUACAAUAAAAUUAUUUAUUACGGAGAAUGAAUGGCAGAAUUUAUUUGAAGGUGGAUUUGAUUGUAAUUAAUUUGAUUAAGUUAAUUUGAUUUUGGCUCUAAAACAUGCACACAUCGCCCGUCGCUCUUA